rnacentral:lncRNA from 1 species
CAUCAAUGUGUGGAUCUGAGUUUGCCGUAAAGUUUGGGCUGUUGCGUCAACACAGGCCAGUAAGUUGUUCUCUAGCGUGCAAUACAGCUUCGCUCCAUAUUUAGCAGCUACUUUUUGAUUCGCCGGCAGCGGAUCAAGGAAACCAGUGAUUUCAUGCUCUCCCCAUCAUGGAUCCGCUUUUCUGUGCUCCUAUUGUACCCAGCAAUGGCCGAAAUGGCGUAAGCGUGUUGUCAGUUUGGUACGGUCAACGAAGGAUCGUCGUUACAUCCGAUUGCUUGAAGAAACGUCAGAUGACGCAGGUCGACUGUUUGCAACAGUGCUUGAGGGCACAUUUGUUCCUCGUCGAUCCUAAUGCAACACCACUGCGUUUCUAUGUGUAUGUGAAUCGUUACUCAGAGUAAGUCCUAGUCUAAGAGUCUGCACGCCACGAGCAAAAAUGCAGAUGCUGUUGAGACGCGCUCGAUAUCGCCUGGAACCGUGCACCACUGAGUCAGGGAAGUCGUAGAGACAAAAAUCUGAGUGUUAAGGCUCUUUCUGCCAGAGACUACAUUCGUCAUCAGCUUUUCUUCUUCUGUAUGGUGGGAUUGUCGUCACAAAGGAAAACCUUCGGACAGUGAGUUCGCCGAAACACCAAGUGUCUCCAAGAUAACAGUGGCAAGGUUGUUCAGAGAUUCGAUCCAUUGCCCCAGGUGUCAUAAGGGCAACGCUGUGACUGUUCCAAGCAUCAUUCUGCAGUCAGGCACAAAAAGCUUGGGAUUCCGCUUGGCCGCAAACGCCACAGCUGUGUGUGCUGGGACAAUUGUUUGGCAUCUGUACAUGGCAUCUUCACUGCCACGGAAUGUUCGAGAAAGAUUUUUCUCGUCAAGAUAUUAUUCAGCGGAAGGUGAAUUUUCUGCGGUUGUAUGGAAGCACCGAGCCCCUUGCUGCAAUUCAGUUUCGCCAGCCCGUCUUGCAGGGGCGUCAUCUUUUGCUGUCUAUUCCUACAGACACGAGUGAGUCCCAAAUGUAGUGGCAUCUGGAUAUACUGGUUGAUGUAGCCGCCUCUCUCCAACCCCCCUGGUUCAACACCUGCCAUCGCUCUCCUGGUGUAGCUUGUUUGAGGCGAACAAGUUCUCAUCCAGAAGGACAGGACAGCUGGUGCGACUAUAGGGGAUGAAAGCUCAGGUGCUUCUGACCACUCCAGGAGUUGUUGACUGAUAAGAGGCCACGAAAGUACUCGUCUAAGUUCCUUGAAAUGUACUGGUGGCCACAAAUGUACACUUUUUCCGGCUCUUCUUGGUUGUUUGAGUGGCACUGUCCUUCUUUCACUUUCUCUACUUUUAUCAAAGAGUAAGUAUCCUGGGCGUGCAGCUACUUCAGGACUACCAGGGGGCAGUGACUUUGACGUUCUCCCUUCGCUGGGUGGGAGACAGAUGCAAUUAAGUUCGCGUAUCGUCAUAGCAUUCGCAGCGUGAUUUGCGCUGUCGUUGGAAAAGACACUUAUUCCUUUGUUGUGAGGUUAUCUUCCGGCACAGCAUCAAGUGAGUCUUGAGUAUCAGAUUAUUGGAUGGGUGGUUUGCCGUGCCAAGGGGAGGGCGACCGCAGCAGCUGUUGGAGACGCUCUUCCCUGAAAAAUUUUCAGUUCCUCCUUUCUUUCUGUUUUGAACAAAGAGUAAGUCAUCUUAUGUGCAGCCUCACAUCCUUUCAAAGUGCAACACCGUUGUGGUUCAGCGGUUUAGAUCCGAGCCGAUAGCUGGAAGCUCAUAAAACGCUUUUGGCCACUACAAGGAUUUGACUGGGUGUUUAUCAGGGUAACAGAUGCAUCAACACAUGUCUAGAGUCCUCGUGAAGUCUCGUUUUUCCCCUCUCUGGUGCUGCACUAACUACGUUACUUGUAAGAAUAACAAAAGACCGGCUUCACUGUUUUGCCGUACGGUAUUUCCUACAGAAUCCAGUAGAAAAUUCUCUGUAGAUCACUUCUAGAGGACGUCAGUAGGUUGCGUAACCAUAACGGGAUGUAUUUUUGCAGUCGCCAUCCACAAUGAAUACAGUAGGGCACAACCUCUGCUGAGGUCCGUGCGCCAGUCGUGUACCCCGGUACUAUCACCCUUCCCCAAAUUUACAAAGAAUGCAUGGAUUUGCUUCUUUGUGUAUCUUCUCCUCAAAGGGUAAGUCCUUUUAGCUCGUUUCUGUCGAAGCAAAGAGGAAAGAACUGCGAUACGUCAGCGGUGCUGCAGCAGUCAGACACGUGUAUAUUCCGCUUGGAGCUAAGGAGGAGCCAGAAGUAUAGCCGUCAAGACAAUAGCUAGGGGUUUUGAUACUCUGCCACAGUUUCAAGCGGAGAGAAACUUGAGAAUAUCGAUUCUCCGCACCCCUGCCGGAUGUGUAUGAGUUUGUGGAGAGGUACUGAGUAUCACUGAUGGUCACAUUUUCUCUUCUUCUUAGACUGCCGCAAGUGAAUGAAAUCUCGUCCAGAAACGCUGUACAGCGAGUGAAAGGUGAUCGGGCUGGUAACCGACGCAUCAACGCAUGCCUCCAGUCUUGGCGAAGGCUCCCUGUUUCUUUCUCUUUCGCCCUCUCUUUGCAUUUUCGCCUUCCGCCCCCCACCACUCAAUACUCGUUUCGUUGUUUAUAAUGUUUGUGAACUUCGUGGUCGAACACUCUGUUUUCUUGAAUUUUUACAGAAAUAUGCGAAGGAGGUAAGGGUUACCGUUUUUGGUUGUCCAGGGACACGGGGUUCGUUACAUUGUCUCUUCCACUUCAAGCAAUCUAAGAACGUCUUCAUUCUCUCUGACAAACGCUUUUGUGCGGCAAAAGGUUUGUUUCUGACGCCAGAUUCUAACGUCAUCGCUUUCUGAAGGACCGCUUGUCGCCGACCGAGUGCAAUCUUUUUCAAUCGGGUCAUUUUUUUAUAGCAUGGGUAACUUCACCCGCAUAAUCGAAACAAAACCAUCACACUGCAGUCGCCUUACCUGUUUCGGUUCAGCUUAGUAAGUUUGAUUAUUGCUACCUUCAAGCAUACGAACCCCGGUUCGAAUGCUUGACCUCUCCUUGGAAUCUCCAUGGAGCCAGUUCUGGAAAUACAUAUCCGAUUUUAAGCUGCCAUCCCGCCGAGCCAAUUGAUAGUAUGCCGUAUUACUUCGGAACCCCAACAGCUGGCUGGUUCUAAUCGUGCGGUUUUGUCCAUGUUCACUUCUUCACGCAUUCAGUGUAAGUCGAGAUUAUGGUUGAAUAUUGCGGUUCGCUUAAGCACUGUUGACUCAACAGCACAGUUCGCGUCGAAAUCGGGUUGCGUGUUCGAUCGCAAGUGAUUCUUGUAACAAGCCUCGAACAUAUACGUCACACUUUCUACUUUAGGUGUGACGUUUUUUUCAAAACGCGUUCCGCAUGUUUCGUCAUCUUACCGGUUACCGAUACUGUCUUACUUUUUGGACCCUCAGGCCCAAGAUAGUAGGUGCUCUCGCCGUCAUAGGCCUGAUAAGAGAGUGGAUGUCGUGGGAGUCGGUGAUCGGCAAACAGCGUCGUUUAGGAUUGACUCGUUCCAUCCUGAUCGGCCACGCAAGACACUGAGCCAUGGGAUGAGAGACAAAGCACACGCUAAGCCUGAGCCCUUCUCCACACCUUUUCAAUAAAAUUAACCAAUAAUCUGCCAUUCGGUUGGUUUGUCCUGACAGCAACGUAGUUUGGACGUAAGCGCUCCGUGGCAAUUGAAUCUCAGGGAUGGAAAGACGUGUGAGGCAGUGGCACGAAACCACCGACUCACUGUGAGUGGCUGUCCCAGUCUUUGACGCACCUGGUGUUGGAGGUUGUCGGUUCAUCGUAUUUGAUUGCUGUAUCUCUCUGUCUCUCUUUUGUAACAGUUGGAGGAAGAACUCGAGAGUGUGAGUUUUGCUAUGCAGUGGCCUGAUUGAGAUACAGAGAGCAGCGUCUCCGGUUACUGAAAUCAUUUGAGGCCGAUGCCACUGAGGACUCCAGGCCACUCGCACGUAUUUAACUUUAAGAACUCGAGGAUCCUUUGGUUGAAGUACAUUGUCAGUUAAAUUCGCACAGUGCCGCGCUGCCUUAGAACAAAUUGAGUGUAACUCAGUAGAAGUCUAAAGUGUGCAGAUCCUUUCUGGCACAAGCCGUCCACCCUGAUUUCAAUGGCAUGCGCACUCACGCAGUCUGAAAGCGGCAACAUUGCGGAAGUCAAUGGAGAGAGUGUGUCCCUGGAUCCAGUCACUGUGGAUGAUGGAAGAUGGGCAACUUUUGACCGGAUCCAUAGGCUUCGUACCGAAGAAAUACAGGCUUGGGCGGUUUUUAGGAAUUCCUGGCCUUCCCGAAGUACAAGAUUUUUUACGAAAACCUUGUAUUGUGUUAUGCUUCUAGUUGCAAGUACGUUUGACACAUAUUAGCGUGGUAAAGUCACCACUGCAAUACCUAACAAAGGAACGAGGCGGAUAAGGGUUCUAGUCAGUUGCAGCCACCUGGCUCAUACUCGCACCCUGCUGUACUUGAAACCUAUUUCCUCCUCGAGGGAAAAGUGUGGCCCGAAGCGUGUGCGCUUCGUUUUUCUCCAGAGCAAACGGUUGAGAGUAAGGAGCCAGCUGUGGCGACAGUAUGGCGUUUUUGUGCCUCCAUUUUGUUUUCGUAAGAGCCAUCAUAAUCAAGCAACCGCGACUACCGGAAACACUGCGAGCUCUUAUCAUCUUUUCACAUGCACCUUGUUUGUCAGAUGUGAAGCACACCUGGAGGGGUGCUGAAUUUUGUACGUAAGACAAAUUGAUGUUAAAUUUUGAAUACUAAUCAGCUCGCUGUAAGUUGCACCGUGGGUCUCCUGACGUCACCGAAAUGUCCAAGCCUUCAACCCGUAGAACGUGUUCUGGGGUCAACAGGCACUCUGGCACUGUGCCUGCGAAUGUUUCUGCCUGCACAUCUUACAUAUUUCCUUCAGAGGUGGUAAUUCGGCAUCCAAUGGGAUUUAACGGGAAGCUGGGCCACUGCAGGGGUUAUUCAGAAAACUUAUUGUGUUGCUGUUUGUAUAAUCCAGAGUAAAGAAGAGUUUCAACAAAGAAUUCGACGUGCUAUCAGGGACGUAGCCGACGAUUUUAGCUACCCGAUUAACUCGGACAGCGACGAGGGCUGAAGCGGUCCGACGAUAACCGCAGUCGUUUGGUAGUGCGUCGACUCGUUCGGUGUUGUACAGCGAUUUCAGCUCCGGUGUCUUUCCUGAAAGUUUCCGUUUCUCUAUGGUGUUGGACACACACCAUAUGCUUUCUCGUACGCCACCGCCCUUGUGGGCUGUUCACUCAGUUUGCACAGAUUGCGAGGGCCCCGAUGUUGGUGUUUCGAAACAUGUGUGGGAGCCGUGAAAGCAAUUACUUCGAUUCUUGUGUGAGAGUUGUUUGCAGUGUUCCACGUUCCCUGCUUCCCGGGUUAGCUUAGCCUUGGCUAGUUGCCAACACACUGAGCAAUGUUCCAAAAAGUACGUCUUUUCAAGUACACCCUGGUUCGACAGUUUCAAAUGCGGCGAGACACAUUGAGUUUGAUGGGUCUUUGAGACUGAAUGGAUCUUUGAGUGGGUUGCUUAGUUUAGAGUAUGAAACCAAGUUCGGACGUGCCUUGCUGUUGCCGCUAUGCAAAUAACUUUUCCUCGAAGUCUGAAUAACCUCAGCUCCGCCGUUACUAUUGGAUCACUGUAGAACGAUCACGUUUGUACCUUCCGGAAAUGAUAAGCAGGUAUACGCCUGGUCUUCAAAGAGGUUCAAUUCCGUAAGGACCCGUUAUACUAAGUCCAUAGCAGCGAGUGUAUUUUCAUUCCAUAUAGUUUGAUUCUUGCUCCUCCGACUCAUAGCCAACCUGAGGCGCCAUACAGCGCCUGCUGGAUCGUCGCGAG